rnacentral:rRNA from 1 species
GAGUUUGAUCCUGGCUCAGAUUGAACGCUGGCGGCAUGCCUUACACAUGCAAGUCGAACGGCAGCAUGAUCUAGCUCGCUAGAUUGAUGGCGAGUGGCGAACGGGUGAGUAAUACAUCGGAACGUGCCCUGUAGUGGGGGAUAACUAGUCGAAAGAUUAGCUAAUACCGCAUACGACCUGAGGGUGAAAGUGGGGGACCGCAAGGCCUCAUGCUAUAGGAGCGGCCGAUGUCUGAUUAGCUAGUUGGUGGGUAAAGGCCCACCAAGGCGACGAUCAGUAGCUGGUCUGAGAGGACGAUCAGCCACACUGGGACUGAGACACGGCCCAGACUCCUACGGGAGGCAGCAGUGGGGAAUUUUGGACAAUGGGCGAAAGCCUGAUCCAGCAAUGCCGCGUGUGUGAAGAAGGCC